GCUUCGGGGUGUAAACCUCUUUCAGUAGGGAAGAAGCGAAAGUGACGGUACCUGCAGAAGAAGCGCCGGGCUAACUACGUGCCAGCAGCCGCGGUAAUACGUAGGGCGCAAGCGUUAUCCGGGAAUUAUUGGGCGUAAAGAGCUCGUAGGCGGUUUGUCGCGUCUGCCGUGAAAGUCCGGGGCUUAACUCCGGAUCUGCGGUGGGUACGGGCAGACUUGAGUGAUGUAGGGGAGACUGGAAUUCCUGGUGUAGCGGUGAAAUGCGCAGAUAUCAGGAGGAACACCGAUGGCGAAGGCAGGUCUCUGGGCAUUAACUGACGCUGAGGAGCGAAAGCAUGGGGAGCGAACAGGAUUAGAUACCCUGGUAGUCCAUGCCGUAAACGUUGGGCACUAGGUGUGGGGGACAUUCCACGUUUUCCGCGCCGUAGCUAACGCAUUAAGUGCCCCGCCUGGGGAGUACGGCCGCAAGGCUAAAACUCAAAGGAAUUGACGGGGGCCCGCACAAGCGGCGGAGCAUGCGGAUUAAUUCGAUGCAACGCGAAGAACCUUACCAAGGCUUGACAUGAACCGGAACGGCGCAGAGAUGUGUCGGCCACUUGUGGCCGGUUUACAGGUGGUGCAUGGUUGUCGUCAGCUCGUGUCGUGAGAUGUUGGGUUAAGUCCCGCAACGAGCGCAACCCUCGUUCCAUGUUGCCAGCGGGUUAUGCCGGGGACUCAUGGGAGACUGCCGGGGUCAACUCGGAGGAAGGUGGGGACGACGUCAAAUCAUCAUGCCCCUUAUGUCUUGGGCUUCACGCAUGCUACAAUGGCCGGUACAAAGGGUUGCGAUGCUGUGAGGUGGAGCUAAUCCCAAAAAGCCGGUCUCAGUUCGGAUUGAGGUCUGCAACUCGACCUCAUGAAGUCGGAGUCGCUAGUAAUCGCAGAUCAGCAACGCUGCGGUGAAUACG
rnacentral:rRNA from 1 species